rnacentral:tRNA from 1 species
UGGGUUGUAACUCAUUGGCAGAGCGCUUGCCUGGCAUGUGUGAGGCCCUGGGUUCGAUUCUCAGCACCGCAU